CACAGUGUAGCAAUACAUGGGUGGCGACCGGCAAACGGGUGCGGAACACGUACGCAACCUUCCUUCAGGCGGGGAAUAGCCCAGAGAAAUUUGGAUUAAUACCCCAUAAUAUUUUGAGAUGGCAUCAUCUUAUUAUUAAAGCUACGGCACCUGGAGAUGGGCGUGCGGCUGAUUAGGUAGUUGGCGGGGUAAUGGCCCACCAAGCCUACGAUCAGUAGCUGAUGUGAGAGCAUGAUCAGCCACACGGGCACUGAGACACGGGCCCGACUCCUACGGGAGGCAGCAGUAAGGAAUAUUGGUCAAUGGACGCAAGUCUGAACCAGCCAUGCCGCGUGGAGGAUGAAGGUCCUCUGGAUUGUAAACUUCUUUUAUCUGGGACGAAAAAAGGGUUUUCUAACUCGUCUGACGGUACCAGAUGAAUAAGCACCGGCUAACUCCGUGCCAGCAGCCGCGGUAAUACGGAGGGUGCAAGCGUUAUCCGGAUUCACUGGGUUUAAAGGGUGCGUAGGCGGGCAUUUAAGUCAGUGGUGAAAUACCUGAGCUUAACUUGGGAACUGCCAUUGAUACUAUUUGUCUUGAAUGUCGUGGAGGUUAGCGGAAUAUGUCAUGUAGCGGUGAAAUGCUUAGAUAUAACAUAGAACACCUAUUGCGAAGGCAGCUAACUACGCGAAUAUUGACGCUGAGGCACGAAAGCGUGGGGAUCAAACAGGAUUAGAUACCCUGGUAGUCCACGCCCUAAACGAUGAUUACUCGACAUUAGCGAUACACUGUUAGUGUCUGAGCG
rnacentral:rRNA from 1 species